GAUGAACGCUAGCUACAGGCUUAACACAUGCAAGUCGAGGGGUAGCAGGGUAGCAAUACCGCUGACGACCGGCGCACGGGUGAGUAACACGUAUCCAACCUUCCCAUAACUCGGGGAAAGCCUUUCGAAAGAAAGAUUAAUACCCGAUAGUACUUAACAAAGGCAUCUUUGAUAAGUUAAAGAUUUAUUGGUUAUGGAUGGGGAUGCGUUCCAUUAGAUAGUUGGUGAGGUAACGGCUCACCAAGUCUUCGAUGGAUAGGGGUUCUGAGAGGAAGGUCCCCCACAUUGGUACUGAGACACGGACCAAACUCCUACGGGAGGCAGCAGUGAGGAAUAUUGGUCAAUGGGCGAGAGCCUGAACCAGCCAAGUAGCGUGAAGGAUGAAGGUCCUAUGGAUUGUAAACUUCUUUUAUAGUAGAAUAAAGUGGCCCACGUGUGGGUUUUUGUAUGUAUACUAUGAAUAAGGAUCGGCUAACUCCGUGCCAGCCGCCGCCGUAAGAC
rnacentral:rRNA from 1 species